AUUAGAGGGUGUCCCCUAUUGAUCGAAAGAUGUAGAAAAAAUGAUGGUGUGGAUUGGCCUAAUAUUGCAGGCAUCUCAAAUAUUGAAACUGAUUGGUGAGGAAUUCAGUGGGAACGCUAUUGUACUGCAGAGAACAGAGAGAGAAAAAUUAUGAAGACAAAGUGAGACCUUAUAUAUUGCAAAUCACGUGGGCACUAUUCUUCAACAAGCAAUAAAGAAAUAAUGAUGUUUAAUUCAUUAGAGACUUGCUCUUUUGACUUGCAAGGAUUGGAUGAUGAUUAACCUACAGUUCACAAUUCCCUAAAAUUUUGAAAAUUUGAAAAUCGCAAUGAUACAAAGAAUGUACUCAAGGGCAUCGUUAAAAGAGAUAAGAGCACAAUUCACAAAGGCAAAACAAGAUUUCAUGAGCUUGAAUCACUGCUGAUAUUAUUACUUUUAAAGAUAUUCAUUAAAUAGCAACAACUUCAAUGUAUGAAGUCGUCAUUUUGUUGGCCCUAGAACAAGGCACAGAACAUUUCACUUUCCUUAUGAUGCUAGCGACUCUAUGGGACCAAGUCUGUCAAGUUAUAAAGGUGAAUUGCAAAGGAUGCUUUCCACAAAUAAUAAGCUAGGAGAGCUAACCGGAAGGGUGCUGAUAUCCCAAGCAUCUUCAGAUCUUCCGACAAAUCUGUCAGUUUCUACAAGAUUGCCUUGCAAUUGCUGCCUUCAGUGUGUGAUUGUGGAUUAAUGUUCUCCCUAAUUCCUAAAGCACCUCUAUAUAUAAAUUAUCCUAAUAUGUAAGAUGAUGGAAGAAGAGGGAUGAUGAUGAUAAAACAAUCAGACUGAUAAUAAGGCUUUCCCAAUGUCCUUCCCUUCCUAUAAUCAAAGAGCCAAUAUCUAUUGGAUGACAAGCAACCGUGCACUGCUACCACAAGUUGGUAACCUCAUAGUUCAUCUUGAAAAAAAAACAGUAAUAAUUUAAGUCAUGAAAAUGUAAUGGAGGACUUUUAGAUACUGAACCAUCUGGACAGCUUUCUUUUGUAGCAAAGAGAAAUGCAUCAAGUUGUGUUUGAUUAAGACUGCAUUUAAUGUUGAGCAAGCUUCAGGGAUCGUACCCGAUGGUGGUGGUACACUUUCUAAGUCAAUACUAGCUCAGCUCAUUCCAAAAUAAAGCUUUGUUUGAACCAAAAGGCCAAGAGAAAGUAGAAAUAAAGGCUGGCCAAAGAAGCUUACAUGCCAAUUAACGUGUUGGUUUCUUUUACAGAUGUGAAAAUAAUAUGUGAAAGUCAAAAGCAAUGUUGGUUUAAGCUGUUUCAUACCAGAAUUGUUUUGCUAUAACAAUUAUGCAACAGCUCUCAUGAAAGGUUUUGACUUUUGAGCGACAACUUAGACGAGCAUGGAUGUUGUGCAUAUUCUUGUCUCCACGAUAUACUGGAAUAGAGCUAAGCUCGAACCCUGGAAGUGAACCAUGAAAAGGGUGAAAGUGAUUUUUGGGUGUGUGACAGGAUGCAUAUGAGACAUAGGACUUUGGUUUCAAUGUCAAAAACUAUAUAUGUUGUACUAUCUAAUUCUUUCAUGGUUGGCGAAGAGCUAACUUCACUUCCUGAAAAAACAUGCAAAGGUUGGCAGUUGGUUCUGGGGUUUGUAAGAGGGUUCACAUGGGAUUUGGGAUUCAAUCUCAAAUUUUAUUCUUGUACUUUUAUGCCCUUAUAGUGAAGAAAGAAUUUAUCCUAUCCGUGGACGUAGGCAAAAUUUUGCCGAACCACGUAAAUUCUUGUGUGCUAUUCUUAUUUGAUUACUUUUCCCCUUCACUAUAGUGAAUCAUGUUGAAAUAAUCACUGUAAUUAUGCCUUAGAUUAGAAAUCACUUUGUAAUUACGAAUAUUUGUUAUAUGCCUAAG
rnacentral:misc_RNA from 1 species